GAUUUCAUAAUUACAAAAUUGUAAUUCAUUUUUACUAUUUUCAAUGAUCAGUUUUGUAUUUAUGCCUUGCAUAACUCUACAUAUGUUCAUGUAAAAUAAACCAUGCUUAAUGUAGUGUUGUUUCAUGCUUAUAUAAAAAUCAGGCCUUGAAGCAAUAUUUCACCCAAAAAUGGAAAUUUCAUAGAAAUACAUCCAAGAUGUAGAUGAGUUUGUUUCAUCAUCAGAACAGUUUUGUAGAAAUUGAGCAUAACAUCACUUGCUUACAAGUGGAUCCUCUGCAGUGAAUGGGUGCCGUCAGAAUGAGAGUCCAAACAGCUGAUAAAAACAUCACAAUAAUCCACACCACUCCAGUCCAACUGGCAUCUUAUGAAACGAAAAGCUGCGUAUUUGUAAUAAAUCCAUCAAGACGUUUUCAACUUAAAACUGAAAAAUUUUACCUGCUGGUUAAAAUACUAGUCCUCUAGCAUCCGCAAUAAGUUAACAAGUGAAAACAGUAAAAAAAAUAUAAAAUAUGUCAGUGGAUUUUGAUGUGAGGACAACAGGGGAUGGACGUUUUCAAUGGAAGAAGCGUUAUGGACUCUUUUCCUUUACACUCCACAAGACAUUAAUGAGUCGUGUGAAUUACUUGGAUUAUUGUGAUGUUUUUAUCAGCUGUUUGGACUCUCAUUCU